AUGGAUGAAUCUGGAGAACAUCAUCCUCAGCAAACUGACACAAGAACAGAAAAUGAAACACCGCAUAUUCUCACUCAUAGAAUCUUACCACUUGUUUUAUCUGCUGCUGAGACAACCCAAUCCUGCAUGAGUUACAGCUGCCAACUUCACAAAGAAACGAUGGCCUGUUCUGGGACAGCCAGUGUUGCCUGGCCUAUUGUACCGAAGAAUAAAUGAGUAAGAGUCUUGAUUACCUUACAAAUAAAUCUGGUUAACAGUUAUAUUAAUUAAAAUGC
rnacentral:lncRNA from 13 species